GAUGAACGCUGGCGGCGUGCCUAAUACAUGCAAGUCGAGCGAACGGACGAGAAGCUUGCUUCUCUGAUGUUAGCGGCGGACGGGUGAGUAGCACGUGGAUAACCUACCUAUAAGACUGGGAUAACUUCGGGAAACCGGAGCUAAUACCGGAUAAUAUUUUGAACCGCAUGGUUCAAAAGUGAAAGACGGUCUUGCUGUCACUUAUAGCUGGAUCCGCGCUGCAUUAGCUAGUUGGUAAGGUAACGGCUUACCAAGGCAACGAUGCAUAGCCGACCUGAGAGGGGGAUCGCCCACACUGGAACGGAGACACGGUCCAGACGCCUACGGGGGGCAGCAGUAGGGAAUCUUACGCAGUGGGCGAAAGCCUGACGGAGCAACGCCGCGUGAGUGAUGAAGGUCUUCGGAUCGUAAAACUCUGUUAUUAGGGAAGAACAUAUGUGUAAGUAACUGUGCACAUCUUGACGGUACCUAAUCAGAAAGCCACGGCUAACUACGUG
rnacentral:rRNA from 1 species